GUUUCGAACAAUAAAAAAAAUUUCAAUGCAGAUAAGCAAAUCAUUAAGAAUUCAAAAUCGAAAUAUAAUCUAUCAUAUAAGAAAAGUCUACCAUUUGGGACUUUCUUAGGCUAUCCACAUCAACAACUCUUCUCUCAAUGUUCCACGUCACUUUUCUCAAUUUUAUGCUCAUGCUCCAUUAUGCUCCAUUAUACUACGGCAAUUACACUUCUCUUGCAGUUACUACCUAUCCUCCUUCUCUUCCAAAAUCCUUCCUCUUAUUCUUCCAAAACCGUUUCCAAUUAAUUUCUCUUUCACACUCGGGUCUCUCCACCUUUCAAAACGAAUCUCCUUCCUCUCUCUCCAAGCCAAAACGGCGGCGCCUCCACUCUCCUCCGACGAACUGCUCGCCUUUUCCGUUCCGAUUCAUCUCCUUCUGCUUCGAUUCUGGUCCUAUUCAAAAAUUUUAUCACUGGAAGUAUGGCUUCACAAUACAAUGAGUAAGAAGAAAGAGCUUUUCAAACCAAAAAUUGAGUCGAAAGUUGGAAUGUAUGUUUAUGGAGUCACUGUUUACGAUCUCAGCCAUAUUGGGCAUGCUCCUGUUUACGUCAAUUUUGAUCUUCUUUAUAGAUGACAAGGUUUCAUAGGUUAAAACAAAUAUCAGUUUUCAAUUCGUUGAUUUUAUCAUCUAUGACGGAGAUUGAGGAAUUAACAGAGCAUCGACAGUACUCGCCGACGAAGAUAUCAAGAAACAACCAAUUCCCGAAGACCUUUAACUUUCCUCAAUGUUGUUGCUCUCGACAACAUCGUAUCUGGACCUGUCGUGGUGGCAGAUAGUAUGAAUGAGGCUGCUAUGUAUAAAUUGGUGCAUGUUGGUCGUGAUAAUCUCAUUGGUGAAAUUAUUCGUUUGGAAGGGGCUCCGAUGCUAUCUAAGGUUCUGCAUAAUUUCACACUAUGAUACAAAUCCAAGACGAAACGAUGAGAACUCCGGAAACAAAAACUCAGGUAAGCUUUCAAUCUUGAUUUUCGCUUCCGAUUCUCACUUCCUUUUACUUCUAUGAUGUAAUGCUUUCUAACUCCUCUGUUAAAUUCUUGAGUUAUUAUGAUAAGCAAUGUUGUAGUUUCAUCAUUUCACUAUACAGUCUUUUCAAUCAUGCGUUUCAAUCAUGGGUUGAUUUCAUUAUAGUGUUUUAAGCUACGCUGUUAAUCUUCCUGGUAAGUUUCUGUAUUUCUUUGUUCUUUGUAUUUGUUGUUGGAUAUGGAUCUAUAGGAGUUGUGUGUUACAGCGGUUGAAGGUCUUAAUGAUUUGAAUUUUAUGUUUAAUCCAAGUGUUAUUCGUUAUAAGCUGUUUACAAUGUUAUUUGUCAUGAGGAUAAUCCUCAACUCAGAACAGACAUGGAACUGUUAAGGAUCACAAAAGAAAUUGAGGAGAACUACUGCAUUUUGGAAUCUCAAAUUCAAAUGCUCUUAGGUCGUAUCAGAAUCCAGAGUGUCCUCAAUUUGCAAAGGAGAAAAUCUUCUGCAUUGGUGCCCACAAUAAACAGCAUGUUUUGAAAUGGGAGAAUAGUAUGGCAUGGCAUGGAAAACUCACUCUUACUGAUAAAGCAAUCUAUUUUGAGAAGAAAGAAAUUCACCUACGCAACGGGCAGUAUUUGAAUAUCUUAAAGGGAAAGUGUUAGAUGUAUAUCCUAAAUAUAAGAAAGAAGCUAAGGAUCAUCUAUCAAAAGUUGUUAAGUUGAAUCCAUUAGAAGAAACACUCCUUCCCCUUUUCAACGAAAUAACUGAGUCAUAUCAGAUCCUAAUAUCUUCGGAAGGUCUUCAGAACAAGAAAGAAUGACCAUAUAGUUCUGGCGGGAAGGUGAUAUACUUUAUAAGCCUCAUCAUCCAAAUGUGGUGGAAUUUUAUGGGGUAGUUCAAGAUGGACUAAGAGGAACAAUGGCAACUGUCACGAAGUUCACAAUGGAUCUGAAAAUGCCUUAGACAAACAAGGUUACCAAGUUCCCUUGACAAUUUUGGUUGAUAAAGAAAGGAACAAAGCUGUGUAUGCUGAGUCAGGUAAUGAUUUUGUUGAUGCUCUUUUAAGCUUUUUAACAUUGCCUUUAGGGACAGACAUAGCUCAGGUCCUGCGAAUAGUUCAGGAACAACAAAUACGGCGGGUCCUUCACUAAGGUCAGCACCCUUGACUCAUACUCCUAGAGAUGCUAUUUCAAUGCCUGCUUUGCCUCAUAAUGGCAAUUCUUCAAAGCCUCUAAUGAUGUUUGGCACUGAUGGCACCGAGAUUCUUACGUCACCUUCAAACCAUAAAAAUUUAACAUUGAUGCUGAAUAAAUUUGUUUCUUUUUUGUCAGUGCAUUGAGGUAUAUACAGUUGACAAUGAAGAACAAGGAUUCGGAUGAAAAAUUGUGUUUUCUGAAUCUUGCUUUUUGAUUUUAUGGUUUACUUUAUGUCUUUUGAUGUAUAGGGUUCGGUUUAUUCUUUUUAAUUCUAUAGGUUUGGAUGGAGAAUGGCUGAAGGUGUUAACUUUCCAUAGGAAUGGGUGCGCGUAUCAACCGAAGGUGUUAACUUUCACGUUGGUGCAUUUGCAUCCCUUUUCUAUUCUGUUGUUACUACUGACAUAUAUGGUUUCAAAUGUUAUACCCUAUCAAAUGAAAGUGGCAUAUUGAAUGCAUUAGGUUUGCGUACACUUACAUCAAUCCGGUAUAAGACAAGUUGUUGUGGAGCAGGCACUGCUGCUGAUACAAAGGCAUUAACAGGUAUCGAUAAUAAUGCAUACAUCUCAUACAGGGCAAUAAAGUAAUCAAGCAAAUGGAAGCGGCAUAUUUGGUUAUUCAAGGUAUAUGACUACAGAACAGUUGAUGGAAGUAGCAUAUUUGGUUAUUCAACGCCUUUCGGUGACAUCUAUUUGGCUCUUCGAUAUGGUGACAUCUAUUUUGGGUCAUCUAUUGUUCGGUCCUAUAUUGAUCUGUAAACGAUAAUCUGGAACAUCAAUCUAAUGUUUAUUUCUAUUUGCAGAGUGGUAAAUCAAUUAGAAAAAGGGAAGACGGAGUGAUGAAGAAAAAACUUCCAUUGGUCGUAGGAAGACAUCGGCUGCCCUGUCAAUUCGUGGGAGACCACCACAUCCAUCAAACUCAGAUUCAUAAACUGCUACCAUGAGUAAAUUUUUGAACAUAACUUUUAAAAUUGAUAGUGUUUGUCUAUGAUCAUAGAAACGUUGGUUAAACAAUUAGGAUUUUAAUAAAAAGGAGAAUUUAAGCUGCAUAGUUUCACUAAAGGUUUGAACUCGCCGUCGCAGUAACAGCUGCGUUACAAUAUGAUAAUACUAUUUAAAACUAUGUCCAACAGGACAAUGCGUUAGUAGAAUUUUGCCUUAAUUAUUUUGAUUUAUAGCCGGACCAUGCAUUUCUAACAAGACCAUGCAUUUCAAAAGCUAUUUUCAGAUGAGCUUUUCCAGUUUGGAUAGAGCAAUAAUUUGAGAAUGGAGAUAUGGAUUCUUGAGUAAGAGACAGGAGAUAUGCAUUUCAAAAGCUAUUUUCAGAUGAGUUUUUCAAGUUUAUGGCUUUAGCAAGUUUAUUUUAGCAGUCUCACCAACCAGUUAAAUCCAGGUAUUAAUCUCAUCCUACAACUUCUAAAUGAAAAUCAUGCUUCAGAAAAUGCAAUGCCGGAUGUAAUUGAAGCUUAUCCUAUUGAUUCAACUUUUAUUGAGGAUGAAAAAGUAGAAAAUGAUGAUAGUAGUAGAGGAAAUAAUGCUUGCAGCUCGGAACUUUUAAGCCACACAGCUGGUGUUGGACCUGAUGACAACUUAGUGACAUCAUUUCCAGUUCUCAGGGAUUGUAUUUCAUAUGAAAAUGUUUAAGAACAUUCAGAUAUUGCAAGGAGUGUCUCAAAUACAGAAACGUCACUACCAGAGUCAUCAUGCCAUGAGAAUCUUGAUGUGCAAAGUUAUGACGCUAAUGAAUUGAAUGCUUCGGCGAUUGCCAACUGUUCUACAAUCACAGAAUCAGAAAUUGAAAGGGAGGAAACUGAUCUGGAAUCAAAACGUGUCAUCGAUGACUUACAGGACACUCUGCUCGAAAUCCUUCCAAUGAUUUUCACAUUGCUUCUGUUUCAGAGCUCAUUUUCUGACUGAAGUGUGAUUUUGGAAAAACAAUAUGAGAACCGUGCUUCAUCAUUGGCUUCACUGCUAGAUAUUCCCUCAGCAAGGGGCUCGAAUUGUUGGGAUAAAGUAAGAAGAUACUCGCCAACACUGGUCACAUAGGACUGUGGAUUUGCACUGAAGGUAGGGAGAGGAAAAGCACUUUGUUCCUCAACUGUUGACCAUAUAGGCAAACGGGACACUAUGCUUAGAAGGACUGCUUAAUGUACAUGCAAGAUGGAAAUGCAGUGGCUGUUCCUAUGGCUCUAGGCCUUGAAUACACAUCAGGUUUAGCUAUCCAAGAUUGAAGAAGACAAGGAUUUGUCUGUAUUAACAAGUGUGGAAUUGAAAAAGCUCUUUCAAGGAAAGAAGCAAUACCGCUUUCGGUGUCAAUGCGGUAAUUCUCUUCCUGGAAAUGGUUUUCAAACUGAACGUGGUUAAGUUUUUGAUACCGGGGAGCAUUUUAUCAGCAAAAGAGUUCUAUUGGAAGAGACCUCGGCGUGCUUGCUGCUUCAUUGCAGAAGAAGGUUAGUGGAAGCUUGCGUGUUCUUGAUGCUCUUUGUGGAUGUGGGAUCUGGUCGCUUCGGUACUUGAAGGAAGCCGAAGAGGAUUUUGUUGCUGCUAAUGAUGGGAAUGAGUGCUAUGGGAGUACCAUUUGCUAGGCGUCAUUCUCAGUAGACUUGGUCUUAACCUGUUGAGACUACUUGUGCACAAUAGGAUUGCUGAAUUCCAUACCGAGUUUCAUCCACUGCUCUAGAGAAUCCUUGUAUUAGGCAUGCCGUGGAGUUGGAGCAAUCCUUUAUGGAAGGGGCUUACAACCGUGUCUUGAGUGCUCGGCAGACAGUGCCUCCUUUUGUCAAGGAUAUGCAAGAACCCUCAAUAAAUUUUAAUAUUCAACCACCUUUGAAUAAAAUCAAUGACAAAUAUAUAAAAACUUCCCUUAUUACAACUUUGAAUCUUUCAAAUGUGUUUGAUUUUGGUGUUUUUUUUCAGUUGAUUUAUUUUGAGACUAAAUGUAAUAGAAAUCUAUAACCA